AAACCGCUUAGGGGUUAAACCCGAUGAACCUGAAUAUCUGAAAUGAAAAAUUCAAUAGCAUCUCUUAUCGAUUGUUGUCAAAAACAAUUUUUGAGAUGUUAUGCACUUUUUUCAUAGUAAGACAUUGCGAUCUAUUAGUUUUUAUUUAAUUAUAAAAUGUUUAUCAAAAGGCUCGUUUGUUUAGUUUAUUUUAUCUGUAAUAAAUUUUCGGAUUUAUUAUAUAAAUAAUAUCAAUGCGAUGUCCUGAUAAACAGCUGAUAGAGCUUAAAAAUCAUGCAACCAUGCAUAUGUAUUACGAUUUAUAUAUAUUUUAUAUGUGAAUGCAGUAAUAGCAUGUAUUUGAUUAGCAAUGCGAUAGAUUUGGGAUACCUUCGGGACCCGUCUUGAAACACGGACCAAGAAGUCUAACAUGUGUGCAAGUCAUUGGGUAUUUUUUAUAUGAAACCUAAAGGCGCAAUUAAAAUAACUAUUUUAAUGGGAUUACAAGUGAAUUAUAAAUAUUCAUUUCUCCAUCCCGGGGCGUUCUAUACGAACAUGAUGUAAGCGAUUAUGUCCUCUGUUCAGGAGCGUACCUUGAGCAUACAUGCUGU
rnacentral:rRNA from 1 species